rnacentral:lncRNA from 1 species
CAGCAUCAGCACAGCACCACUACCACUACCACUUCCACUUACCACAAGCACUACCACCACCACCACCACUUCCACUUACCACUUCCAUUACUACCACGACUACCACUAACCAUCACCACUUUCAUCUCCAUUCUUGUCAUUAUUGGCUUGUUGUACGUUGUUCAAAUGUUUCAACGUAUGUACAUUUGUGACUACGAUUUCUUGUUAGCGAUAUAAACGAAGAGGAUAAAGACUUUGGAGUAAAUAAUUUUGGCCGUGCCACUAGCAUAAUGUAUUUGUGCGUCUAGGUAUCCUUAGCGUUGCAAGUGGAAAGUGGCUUCACACUAUAAAUGGUUGACACAGCUAAUACAUUAGACAUAAACUUUCUCAGCAUUCACGAACAGUAAAAAUACUAUUGGUAAAUGAUUCAUGGAUAUAUAGUAUUAGUAUUUGGCAUUCGUUUCGCUUAUGAAUUGUGAUUGAACCGAUAUCGUAUCAUCAUUAAAAGUUUCCUGUACAUCUUCUACAUCAUUCAAACAUGUGGAAGAAUCAUAAAUUUCACAAAAAUAAUGUCUCAAUCGCAUACGUAUUGUCUGCUCUGACUUGGCUUGUCUUCUGUAUGUGAUCCAAAUAGACGAGAAUGUCAAUCCAUCAUGUACGACCAAUCACACUUCCUAUAGCUGAAACCGAGUGCAAAUGCUUUUGUAGCAAUCAUGAUCUGUGCCUUUCCAAGUUAGGGGUUCCAAGACUCGUCAAAGUGAAUUUUUCAUUCUUCUUCAUUUAAAUCUCUCGUGUAAAUGGUUAUCAAGAUGUGAUGAGAGAACAAGUCAGGGUGGUCGAAAAGGAUGCUUAAUUAAUGUACGGUGAACGUUUCAUGUUUAUUCAUUGAAUCACCUUUCCAAAGUCUAUUAUUUUGUUUUUAUCAACAUUCGAAAAUUCAAGGGAAAGCUUAAAUCUCUUCUAAGAAUACAUGCAGAAACAAGAAAAAUGGUUUCCCGCCCAGUGGAUGCUUCUGUGAAUACACAAAAGUUUUGUAUGAAAGGUUAAAGCGGUUGUUUGGCACUGAAUGUAACUACCAAGGAAAAAGUAAUGCUAAGCAAAUUUAAUGAUGCAUAUAUAAUUGGGACAAUUGCAACAUUUGCAAUGUUUUGCCAAAGCGAAAUUGUAUCUUUCGUUUGCGUAUAAGGAAUGUGCCUCGUCAAAUUAUCAUCCAUCCCAGCUGAACAAAUACUGUCAAAGAUUUCAAAAAAUACCGUGAAGCAUUUGCUUUAUUAACGAUGUUACUCAAUAAAAAGAUAUUCAUUUGUGGCAUAACAAGUUCUCAAUUCGAUUCCAAGUACAUGGAGAGCGUAUGUUGAAAUUAAUAAAUCUAAAAUGGUGAUUAAGGAAGGAUUACUGUGCAUCUUUGAAAGUCAUUCAAUUCCUUAAUUAAAAACGACCAAUAUGCUGCGGUUCACCCUUAACAUCAUGUUUUUAACCAACGACAUCAUGGGUAGUAAAAUAAGUAAAACCAUAUUCAUAUUCUUUCUUAAUUUUCUCAAUUUUGAUCGUAUUUCGUUUUUUUCCACAACACCAGAUAUUAAAAUCGAUAAAGAACUUUUUCCAUCCGCAGUUGGGAGUACAUCAUUCCUACUUCGAUAUACUUUUGAAAGAGAAAAGUGAACCGAUUGGAAUUGUUUCGACAACACGAAUUUUACUUCUAGGUCAUAUAUUUAUGGCGAUGCCAAACAACAAUAUUGUUGAGACAGUAAGUUAAGCAAAUGGCUAAAUAAAUCCAAGACUGUUGUUGAGUGCUGUGGAUCUCAAUAUUAUCAGUAUCUACUCUUCUCGAUGAUCCUGUAAAUUUUUGUUAUCUUUUUUUAUUUGCAGUUACUGAUAAUACUAGCAUUUUGCAUGCUUUUUUUUAUUUGGAUGUUCUUCCAAUUGAUCAAUACAGUAACUUUAGAACUAUCAUCGCUAUGCCUUUAAAUGACCGCACUAAAAGCAUGGUACCGAAGCACUGACAUAACAGAGAGGUUCAGAAAGGAAUUUAAAGAUUGACUUUUUCGAUAAACUUCAUGUUACAAGUCUUAUCGUUUGUGUUUAUAAAUCAUCAGCCUCUCUCUAUAUCUCUAUAUCUCUAUAUCUCUAUAUAUCAGAUAUAAAGAUGCAAGUUUUGAAGUAGACAUUCCGCACAAGGUCUAGUACACCAUGUCUCUUGUGCUCAGGCUAGUUGUCCUGCAAAAAUGUACAACAGGAAAAUGGAUGUUUCAUCAAAGAUGGACUCCUUUGUCUCAUACUUAUUGAUGGCGAAGCUAGAUCCGUUAUCAUCUUGAGAAAACACAUCAUCGUCGUACUACAUUUUUUUUCUUACUCAUUGCUUGUUUAUCUACUACGAUUAAACUAUUACAAAGGAUAUCCAGGAAGAUGAUACACAAUGAAAACCGAUAUGUGGGUUGCAAAAGAUAAGCAGUCACCGCAAGAUAGAGUAGGAUGGGUUUAGAUGUUUUCAGUACCCUAAUGCGGAGUAAGGCUAAUCACGGUAUUUGUAAUUCCAUAUUAUAAGAAUAAAAAGUAUCGCAACGAUUUGAACUGUCAAUAUCCAUCCAUUCUGUCCAAAAUAGUAUCCUUGUAUUUGAGAGGAUGAUUUAGUU